CUUUCGAUUUGAGUUCACUGACCUAUGACCUUGAAAUUCAGGUCAAGGUUGAAGGUCAAGGUCAUAUUUUUAAUUUUUAAUUUAGCUUGUAAUCUAUAUUCAAAAGAAACGGUAACAGUUAAUUAUAUGAUGUGUUUUCUAAAUAACUGUUUACGAUAAGGCCCAACUUCAACCCUUUUAAGUCGAAGUGUUUUGGUCAACCCUUAUAGGAG
rnacentral:lncRNA from 1 species